UGUGUAGGCGGGUAGGCAAGUGCUUUGUGAAAUCCCAUGGCUUAACCAUGGAACUGCUUGGCAUACUGCCUACCUUGAGGGCGGUAGAGGUUGCCGGAACUCUAGGUGUAGCGGUGAAAUGCGUAGAUAUCUAGAGGAACGCCUAAGGUGAAGACAGGCAACUGGGCCGUACCUGACGCUGAGACACGAAAGCGUGGGUAGCGAACAGGAUUAGAUACCCUGGUAGUCC
rnacentral:rRNA from 1 species